GGGGCUGUGGCUCAGUUGGAUAGAGCGAGCGCCUCCUAAGCGCUAAGUCAUGGGUUCAAAUCCCAUCAGCCCCG
rnacentral:tRNA from 1 species